GGGAAGUGAAAGAACCAGAUACAACGUCAGCCUGUGGGGGCGCAGCUGUGAUGAGGCCUCAGUCCCAUCCAGAGGGAUUUAAUCGGUCUCGAGCCCCCGCAGACCUCCGCUGCUGCUGCUUGUUGAAGCAACUUUAUUCGAGCUGAC